rnacentral:rRNA from 1 species
UAUCUCUGUAGAGUCUGCAUAUCAAUAAGCGGAGGAAAAGAAACUAACUAGGAUUCCCUCAGUAACGGCGAGUGAAGCGGGAAGAGCUCAAAUUUGAAAUCUUCAAGGUUCUACCUUGACGAAUUGUAGUUUAAAGAAGUGUUUUCUGUUGGAGUUUUGGUAAAAGUUCUUUGGAAUAGGACAUCAUAGAGGGUGAGAAUCCCGUAUUUGACCAUUAUUUCCAGCUUUGUGAUACACUUUCAAAGAGUCGGAUUGUUUGGGAAUACAGUCCAAAAUGGGUGGUAAAUUUCAUCUAAAGCUAAAUACUGGCGAGAGACCGAUAGCGAACAAGUACCGUGAGGGAAAGAUGAAAAGAACUUUGAAAAGAGAGUUAAACAGUACGUGAAAUUGUCAAAAGGGAAGCGUUUGACACCAGUGUUGUUUUCUCGAAAAUCAAUUAAAAAAGGCAGGAUUUUGUGUUGUAUUGACUUUAUCAGCUUUCUGCACUCUUUCUUGUCUUUUUCAAUGCACUUUUCGUUUAACAAGUCAACAUCAAUUUCUUUUGUUGUAAAAGGGUCAUUGGAAGGUGGCUUUCUUUUCGGAGAAAGUGUUUAUAGCCUUUGGCCUCUGCAAUCGGAGAGAUUGAGGUCUGCAGCGUAGAUCCUUCGGGGUUAGAUACAUUUGUGCUAAGUUAUAGCCUUUCAUAGACAACUUGUUGACUAUGAUCAGUCACGUAGCUUACUCGCUUAUGCUAUUUUACCUACGCUUAGGAUGUUGACGAUCAGCUGAGCGC